rnacentral:snRNA from 1 species
GUGCUCACUUCGGUAGCACAUAUACUAAAAUUAGAAUGAUACAGAGAAGAUUAGUGUGGCCCCUGCACAAGGAUGACAUGCAAAUUCGUGAAGUGUUCCAUAUUUUN